rnacentral:rRNA from 1 species
AGCGAACGCUGGCGGCAGGCUUAACACAUGCAAGUCGAGCGGGCACUUCGGUGUCAGCGGCAGACGGGUGAGUAACACGUGGGAACGUACCCUUUGGUUCGGAAUAACGCUGGGAAACUAGCGCUAAUACCGGAUACGCCCUUUUGGGGAAAGGCUUGCUGCCGAAGGAUCGGCCCGCGUCUGAUUAGCUAGUUGGUGGGGUAAUGGCCUACCAAGGCGACGAUCAGUAGCUGGUCUGAGAGGAUGAUCAGCCACACUGGGACUGAGACACGGCCCAGACUCCUACGGGAGGCAGCGGUGGGGAAUAUUGGACAAUGGGCGCAAGCCUGAUCCAGCCAUGCCGCGUGAGUGAUGAAGGCCUUAGGGUUGUAAAGCUCUUUUGUCCGGGACGAUAAUGACGGUACCGGAAGAAUAAGCCCCGGCUAACUUCGUG